UUGGAGGGCAAGUCUGGUGCCAGCAGCCGCGGUAAUUCCAGCUCCAAUAGCGUAUAUUAAAGUUGUUGCAGUUAAAAAGCUCGUAGUUGAAUUUUAGGCCUGGCCGGGCGGUCCGUCUUUGGCGAGUACUGUCUGAUGUUGGGUCUUCCUUCUGGUGAACCAGUAUGUCCUUUAUUGGGUGUGUUGGGGAGCCAGGACCAUUACCUUGAAAAAAUUAGAGUGUUUAAAGCGGGCUAUUGCUUGAAUAGAUUAGCAUGGAAUAAUAGAAUAGGACGUUGUGGUUCUAUUUUGUUGGUUUCUAGGACCACCGUAAUGAUUAAUAGGGAUAGUUGGGGGCAUUAGUAUUCAAUUGUCAGAGGUGGAAUUCUUGGAUUUAUUGAAGACUAACUAUUGCGAAAGCAUUUGCCAAGGAUGUUUUCAUUAAUCAAGAACGAAAGUUAGGGGAUCGAAGACGAUCAGAUACCGUCGUAGUCUUAACCAUAAACUAUGCCGGCUAGGAAUCGGGCGUCGUUAUUUUAAUGACUCGCUCGGCGCCUUACGGGAAAC
rnacentral:rRNA from 1 species